rnacentral:rRNA from 1 species
AUUGAACGCUGGCGGCAUGCUUUACACAUGCAAGUCGAACGGCAGCACGGGAGCGAUCCUGGUGGCGAGUGGCGAGCGGGUGAGUAAUGUAUCGGAACAUGCCCAGUCGUGGGGGAUAACGCAGCGAAAGUUGUGCUAAUACCGCAUACGAUCUAUGGAUGAAAGCGGGGGAUCGCAAGACCUCGCGCGAUUGGAGUGGCCGAUAUCAGAUUAGGUAGUUGGUGGGGUAAAGGCCCACCAAGCCGACGAUCUGUAGCUGGUCUGAGAGGACGGCCAGCCACACUGGGACUGAGACACGGCCCAGACUCCUACGGGAGGCAGCGGUGGGGAAUUUUGGACAAUGGGCGCAAGCCUGAUCCAGCAAUGCCGCGUGCAGGAUGAAGGCCUUCGGGUUGUAAACUGCUUUUGUAUGGAACGAAAAGACUCUCUCUAAUAAAGGGGGUUGAUGACGGUACCAUGAGAAUAAGCACCGGCUAACUACGUGCCAGCCGCCGCGGUAA